UCCGGCUUAUCACCGGCAGUUUCUUUAGAGUGCUCAACUAAAUGGUAGCAACUAAAGACGAGGGUUGCGCUCGUUGCGGGACUUAACCCAACAUCUCACGACACGAGCUGACGACAGCCAUGCAGCACCUGUGUAGGCUGGUAUUGCUACCUCGUCCCGUUUUCACGGUUCUACUACCCACAUGUCAAGGCCAGGUAAGGUUCUUCGCGUUGCAUCGAAUUAAGCCACAUACUCCACCGCUUGUGCGGGCCCCCGUCAAUUUCUUUGAGUCUCAACCUUGCGGCCGUACUCCCCAGGCGGGGAACUUACUCCGUUAGGUGCGGCACCGGCGGUAACCCGCCGACACUUAGUUCCCAUCGUUUAGGGCGUGGACUAC
rnacentral:misc_RNA from 1 species